AUUUUGCGUUAGGGAUUGCAGUGGAAAUCCUUUUUUGAGGAACGAAUAAAAAGAUUGAAACGUAAAGCCCGACCUUUU
rnacentral:sRNA from 1 species